CAGAAGUGCUUCUGCAGGUGCAAGUGACCUGGAAGUGCUUCUGCCUCCUGAGCCCAGUGGAGUGGUGGAGCAGGCCCAGAGAAAGGACGGAGAGGUGCAGCUUGGCAGAAGACAGGAACGUGGUGCACACCGCCUGGCCACGCCACCUCUCGGCAGGCCAGGCUGUGCUCCUGGGCAGCAGCAUGGGCCUCCAGACGAUUGGUGGUGAAGGGCCACUAUGGCAUGUUGAGCCCUCGGACACAGCUAAAACCCCAAUGGCCCGGUGGUGCUCCAGGACAAGAUUACACCAGCUGAAACAUCCUGGGAGGAGCGAAAUCUUCAUCUGUGCAAUUCCUCGCUGUUCUGGAUUAUUGCUGCCGCUGUCCUCUGAGCCUCCCGUUUCAUUUGUGUUUCCUUAGGUACUGAAUAAAGGGGCCGGGCAAGAGAGCUACCCCACGCUGUCCCUGCUGUCCUGCUGCGUUUGCACAUGGGAGCUGGAGCUCAAGGCACCUUUGGAACCCAGCUGUGUACACGUUAAGCCUUCAGGGAGCCCUCACCUCUGCUCUUCAGGAAAUUCUGUCUGCACUGUGACUCACUCUGCUGGGCCUGUCUUGGAGCCGGGUUUUCUGGGCCAGCCCGAGAUAGCCUCAGCUCCUGGAGAAGGAACCUGCUGGAUCUGGGACUUGCUUACAGGCAGCAGUUUUGGAUUCUCAGUUACAGAGAACUCAGGCUAUUUUUGAGGAAUUUGAUCUAAAACCUCAGGCACUGCCCUUUUCACCUCUGAGCUGAAAAGUGGGAAUGUUUCAUGAUCCCCUGCAGCCCUUCUCCUCCUCUUCCUCUGUUCCUCAGUGCUGGAGACCAAACCCACUGCUGAGCUACAUCCCCACUAACUCUAUUAAAACUCAUUUCAG